UUGUCGAUCGACGGCAGGUGUAGGCCGCCUGCAAGGCGGCCUGGCGUCCGGUUCGCAGCCGGGUUCGCAAG
rnacentral:tRNA from 1 species